UGAGGGAUAUUGCACAAUGGGGGAAACCGAGAUGCAGCGACGCCGCGUGGGGGAUGAAGGUCUUCGGAUCGUAAAACCCUUUUUCGGGUGACGCGGUAGCCUCAGAAAAAGUCUCGGCUAACUACGUGCCAGCAGCCGCGGUAAAACGUAGGAGGCAAGCGUUAUCCGGAGUUACUGGGCGUAAAGCGCAUGUAGGCGGUGGUACAAGUUGGUUGUGAAAGCGCCCGGCUAAACUGGGCGAGGCCGAUCAAGACUGUACGACUAGAGAGUGAUAGAGGGGCGCAGAAUUCGGGGUGUAGCGGUGAAAUGUGUAGAGAUCCCGAGGAAUACCAGUGGGGAAGCCGGCGCCCUGGGUCAUAUCUGACGCUGAGAUGCGAAAGCGUGGGGAGCGAACGGGA
rnacentral:rRNA from 1 species